GGGCCCGCACAAGCGGCGGAGCAUGCGGAUUAAUUCGAUGCAACGCGAGGAACCUUACCAGGGCUUAAAUGGGAGAUGACAGGGGCAGAGACGCCCUUUUCUUCGGACAUCUUUCAAGGUGCUGCAUGGUUGUCGUCAGCUCGUGCCGUGAGGUGUCAGGUUAAGUCCUAUAACGAGCGCAACCCCUACCGUUAGUUGCCAGCGAUUCAAGUCGGGGACUCUAGCGAGACUGCCGGUGCAAACCGUGAGGAAGGUGGGGAUGACGUCAAAUCAUCACGGCCCUUACGUCCUGGCCACACACGUGCUACAAUGGUAGGUACAGAGGGAAGCCACCCCAGCGAGGGGGAGCGGA
rnacentral:rRNA from 1 species